UUAGAGUUUGAUCCUGGCUCAGGAUGAACGCUAGCGGCAGGCUUAACACAUGCAAGUCGAGGGGCAGCGAGAUCAGUGCUUGCACUGAUUGUCGGCGACCGGCGCACGGGUGCGUAACGCGUAUGCAACCUACCCAUUACAGGGGGAUAACACUGAGAAAUCGGUACUAAUACCCCAUAACAUCCAGGGAGGCAUCUUCUUGGGUUGAAAACUCCGGUGGUAAUGGAUGGGCAUGCGUUGUAUUAGUUAGUUGGUGGGGUAACGGCUCACCAAGACAACGAUACAUAGGGGGACUGAGAGGUUAACCCCCCACAUUGGUACUGAGACACGGACCAAACUCCUACGGGAGGCAGCAGUGAGGAAUAUUGGUCAAUGGACGCAAGUCUGAACCAGCCAUGCCGCGUGCAGGAAGACGGCUCUAUGAGUUGUAAACUGCUUUUGUACGAGGGUAAACGCAGAUACGCGUAUCUGUCUGAAAGUAUCGUACGAAUAAGGAUCGGCUAACUCCGUGCCAGCAGCCGCGGUGAUACGGAGGAUUCAAGCGUUAUCCGGAUUUAUUGGGUUUAAAGGGUGCGUAGGCGGUCGGAUAAGUUAGAGGUGAAAUCCCGGGGCUCAACUUCGGAAUUGCCUCUGAUACUGUUCGGCUAGAGAGUAGUUGCGGUAGGAGGAAUGUAUGGUGUAGCGGUGAAAUGCUUAGAGAUCAUACAGAACACCGAUUGCGAAGGCAGCUUACCAAGCUACUUCUGACGUUGAGGCACGAAAGCGUGGGGAGCAAACAGGAUUAGAUACCCUGGUAGUCCACGCAGUAAACGAUGAUAACUCGUUGUCGGCCGAUACAGGGUCGGUG
rnacentral:rRNA from 1 species